AUUGAACGCUAGCGGGAUGCUUUACACAUGCAAGUCGAACGAGUGGCGGACGGGUGAGUAAUAUAUCGGAACGUGCCCAGUAGCGGGGGAUAACUACUCGAAAGAGUGGCUAAUACCGCAUACUAUUUGAUCGGCCGCUAUCGGAUUAGCUAGUUGGGGGGGUAAAGGCUCACAAAGGAAACGAUCCGUAGCUGGUUUGAGAGGACGACCAGCCACAGUUGGACUGAGAAACGGCCCAGACUCCGACGGGAGGCAGCAGUGGGGAAGUUUGGACAAUGGGGGAAACCCUGAUCAAGCAAUCCCGCGUGUAUGAGAAGGCCUUCGGGUUGUAAAGUACUUUCAGUCGGGAGGCGUUACCGACAGAAGAAGCACCGGCUAACUCCGUGCCAGCAGCCGCGGUAAUAC
rnacentral:rRNA from 1 species